GUGGGGAAUCUUGCGCAAUGGGCGAAAGCCUGACGCAGCAACGCCGCGUGUGUGAUGAAGGUCUUCGGAUCGUAAAGCACUGUCGGGAGGGACGAAUAAGCCCCGGGUGAACAAUCCGGGGCGACGACGGUACCUCCAAAGGAAGCACCGGCUAACUCUGUGCCAGCAGCCGCGGUAAUACAGAGGGUGCAAGCGUUGUUCGGAAUUAUUGGGCGUAAAGCGCGUGUAGGCGGCCGUGCAAGUCGGAUGUGAAAGCCCUCGGCUUAACCGAGGAAGUGCGUUCGAAACUGCAUGGCUUGAGUACCGGAGAGGGUGGUGGAAUUCCCGGUGUAGAGGUGAAAUUCGUAGAUAUCGGGAGGAACACCAGUGGCGAAGGCGACCACCUGGACGGCUACUGACGCUGAGACGCGAAAGCGUGGGGAGCAAACAGGAUUAGAUACCCGUGUAGUCC
rnacentral:rRNA from 1 species